rnacentral:rRNA from 1 species
ACGUACACUCCUGCGGGAGGCAGCAGUGAGGAAUAUUGGACAAUGGGUGGAAGCCUGAUCCAGCCAUCCCGCGUGCAGGAAGACGGCCCUAUGGGUUGUAAACUGCUUUUAUCUGGGGAUAAACCUACUUACGUGUAAGUAGCUGAAGGUACCAGAAGAAUAAGCACCGGCUAACUCCGUGCCAGCAGCCGCGGUAAUACGGAGGGUGCAAGCGUUAUCCGGAUUUAUUGGGUUUAAAGGGUCCGUAGGCGGACUGAUAAGUCAGUGGUGAAAUCCGACAGCUUAACUGUCGAACUGCCAUUGAUACUGUUAGUCUUUAGUAAGGUUGAAGUGGCUGGAAUAAGUAGUGUAGCGGUGAAAUGCAUAGAUAUUACUUAGAACACCAAUUGCGAAGGCAGGUCACUAAGUCUUAACUGACGCUGAUGGACGAAAGCGUGGGGAGCGAACAGGAUUAGAAACCCGAGUAGUCCCAUGAU